CUAGAAUAAAAGUAGUUAAGAUCUUCAUAACUCAAAGAAUUUGGCGGUUAAUAAAAGUUUUUAGAGGAACCUGUAUUUUAAUUGAUAAACCACGAUAGUUUAAACCUUUAUUUAUAUUUGUAUAUCUCUAUGGGUAGUAGAUUAUUUUUAAAAAAUAUUUUCUUUAAGUAUUUUCUUGUAUUUUAGGUCAAGGUGCAGUUUUAUAAAGGUAAAUAUGGGUUACAUUAAUUAUUAAUUAAUAGUAUAUAAUUAUUUUAUUAAAUAAAUUAGGAUUUAAAAGUAAAUUAAAUUAAUUAAUUUUAUUGAAUUUU
rnacentral:rRNA from 1 species